rnacentral:rRNA from 1 species
UACAUAGGGUGCAAGCGUUGUCCGGAAUUAUUGGGCGUAAAGAGCUCGUAGGUGGUUCGUCACGUCGGAUGUGAAACUCUGGGGGCUUAACCCCAGACCUGCAUUCGAUACGGGCGAGCUUGAGUAUGGUAGGGGAGUCUGGAAUUCCUGGUGUAGCGGUGGAAUGCGCAGAUAUCAGGAGGAACACCAAUGGCGAAGGCAGGACUCUGGGCCAUUACUGACACUGAGGAGCGAAAGUCUGGGGGAGCGAACAGG